rnacentral:rRNA from 1 species
GUGUACGGCCAUACCACCCUGAACGCCCCCAAUCUCCUCUGAUCUCAGAAGUUAAGCAGGGUCGGGCUUGGUUAGUACUUGGCUAGGAGAAAUACUGGGCCAAGUAUUCAUCCACU